rnacentral:rRNA from 1 species
GACGAACGCUGGCGGCGUGCUUAACACAUGCAAGUCGAACGGAAAGGCCCUGCUUGCAGGGUACUCGAGUGGCGAACGGGUGAGUAACACGUGGGUGAUCUGCCCUGCACUUCGGGAUAAGCCUGGGAAACUGGGUCUAAUACCGGAUAGGAGCCAUUUUUAGUGUGAUGGUUGGAAAGUUUUUUCGGUGUAGGAUGAGCUCGCGGCCUAUCAGCUUGUUGGUGGGGUAAUGGCCUACCA